rnacentral:pre_miRNA from 1 species
CAGCCACCUGACUCACCUCCGCAGGCUGGGCUGGACGAGUAUCUCUUUGAAAGGCUCACCCUCAAGUUCUACUAGGAGC